GAUGAACGCUGGCGGCGUGCCUAAUACAUGCAAGUCGAGCGAAUGGAUUAAGAGCUUGCUCUUAUGAAGUUAGCGGCGGACGGGUGAGUAACACGUGAGUAACCUGCCCAUAAGACUGGGAUAACUCAGGGAAACCGGGGCUAAUACCGGCUAACAUUUUGAACCGCAUGGUUCGAAAUUGAAAGGCGGCUUCGGCUGUCAGUUAUGGAUGGACCCGCGUCGCAUUAGCUAGUUGGGGAGGUAACGGCUCACCAAGGCAACGAGGCGUAGCCGACCUGAGAGGGUGAUCGGCCACACUGGGACUGAGACACGGCCCAGACUCCUACGGGAGGCAGCAGUAGGGAAUCUUCCGCAAUGGACGAAAGUCUGACGGAGCAACGCCGCGUGAGUGAUGAAGGCUUUCGGGUCGUAAAACUCUGUUGUUAGGGAAGAACAAGUGCUAGUUGAAUAAGCUGGCACCUUGACGGUACCUAACCAGAAAGCCACGGCUAACUACGUGCCAGCCGCCGCGGUAA
rnacentral:rRNA from 1 species